GCCGGACAUGGUGGCGCAUGCCUGUAAUCCCCAGCUACUCGGGAGGUUUGAGGCAGGAGAAUCGCCUGAACCCGGGAGGCAGAGGUUGCGGUGAGCCGAGAUCGCGCCAUUGCACUCCAGCCUGGGAGUGCACUCAAAAAGGAAGAGUUUGGCUGUUUUUGCCAGGCUGGAGUACAGUGGCGGAGUCUUCAGCUCGCCGCAACCUCUGCCUCCCGGGUUCAGGCGAUUCUCCUGCCUCAGC
rfam:Papio anubis isolate 1X1155 chromosome 3, whole genome shotgun sequence.